UAGCAGUUGGGGUCUUCGCGGCUGCAUUCCACUGGUUGUUAUACGAAAAUCUUUCGAAGUUCUAAUCUCCCGCGCGUUUUGUCUUGCAAUUUUUGAGCAUAGCGAGAACGUACGCCGUGCUGUCCAGUGAUAAAAGCUGUUGAGCACAGCAGAGCUCCCAGAGUACUGUGGUGGACAACGUUUCUUUGUUCUCUGGCUUUCAAGUUUAAGGGGUGCUUGGACUAUCUUGCAUCGGUGGAUAUGAAAAUAGUGGUAACCUACCCUACGAAACAGCUGUUUGCACAUAAGCUUAACAGUUCCCUGUGAGAUGCUGUGAAAGUCAGCAGGGAAGUGCGAUGUAGAAGAAACGACUGCCAGAAGCUUGCUAAGGAACCGCACAACCUGCGUGGGCAGCAGACAAAAUAUUCAUCAAACGAAGUUUUGCACCAAAGUUAUGAGAGCAGCACAGAUGUUGUUUUAGCGUAAUGGAGUGAUGGAAGUGCUGCGCCAAUCAUGGAGUGCUUAGCAGUCGCCUGCUCGACCAGCCACAGUGAGUCAUUGGAGGCAGUGCUGCAGCACCAACAAUCACUCGUUGGAAGAAAGGAAUGAGGUGGCCAUCAACACCCUGCUGCCAGUUCAACACUCCUCAGUCAAAACACAAGACGCCUGCUUGGCGGCAAAGUCAAUCCAGUUUUAGA